AGAAUGGGCAGCCUGUGUGUCUCUGCAGACGCAGCCGGCUGAUGAAGUGUGCAGCAGUUUGGGACAAGUCUUGGCACCUCUUUGAAUAAAAUAAGAGCUCCCUCUGCUGCUCUCUAAACCAGCAUGGACUUCUGAGGUGUCACAGGUGUUCCCCUCUGCCCGGAGAUGGUAUCUUGCUGUGCUGCCUGGACUUAAACUUAUCAGCUCAAGUGAUAGACCUCCCCCUCUCAAGUAGCGGGGACUGCACUUCCAUUCUAAAUGAUAUGAUCUGCUGUGAAGUUGAGGAUUGUAAAUAUUGCUGGCCUAAUUUAUUAGCCAUUUGAUCCAACAACUCAGUCAGGCUACUGGCCUUAAAUUGGACAUAAGGAAAUAGACCUAGAGGGGUCAAGUGACUCCCCGAGUGA